ACUCUUGAGAGCGGCGGACGGGUGAGUAAUGCCUAGGAAUCUGCCUGGUAGUGGGGGAUAACGCUCGGAAACGGACGCUAAUACCGCAUACGUCCUACGGGAGAAAGCAGGGGACCUUCGGGCCUUGCGCUAUCAGAUGAGCCUAGGUCGGAUUAGCUAGUUGGUGAGGUAAUGGCUCACCAAGGCGACGAUCCGUAACUGGUCUGAGAGGAUGAUCAGUCACACUGGAACUGAGACACGGUCCAGACUCCUACGGGAGGCAGCAGUGGGGAAUAUUGGACAAUGGGCGAAAGCCUGAUCCAGCCAUGCCGCGUGUGUGAAGAAGGUCUUCGGAUUGUAAAGCACUUUAAGUUGGGAGGAAGGGUUGUAGAUUAAUACUCUGCAAUUUUGACGUUACCGACAGAAUAAGCACCGGCUAACUCUGUGCCAGCAGCCGCGGUAAUACAGAGGGUGCAAGCGUUAAUCGGAAUUACUGGGCGUAAAGCGCGCGUAGGUGGUUCGUUAAGUUGGAUGUGAAAGCCCCGGGCUCAACCUGGGAACUGCAUUCAAAACUGUCGAGCUAGAGUAUGGUAGAGGGUGGUGGAAUUUCCUGUGUAGCGGUGAAAUGCGUAGAUAUAGGAAGGAACACC
rnacentral:rRNA from 1 species